rnacentral:rRNA from 1 species
GACGAACGCUGGCGGCGUGCUUAACACAUGCAAGUCGAACGGAAAGGCCCUGCUUUUGUGGGGUGCUCGAGUGGCGAACGGGUGAGUAACACGUGAGUAACCUGCCCUUGACUUUGUGAUAACUUCAGGAAACUGGGGCUAAUACCGGAUAGGAGCUCCUGCUGCAUGGUGGGGGUUGGAAAGUUUCGGCGGUUGGGGAUGGACUCGCGGGUUAUCAGCUUGUUGGUGGGGUAGUGGCUUACCAAGGCUUUGACGGGUAGCCGGCCUGAGAGGGUGAACGGGCACAUUGGGACUGAGAUACGGAGCAGAAUGCUACGGGAGGCAGUAGUGGGGAACAUUGCACAACGGGCGGAAGCCUGAUGCAGCAACGCCGCGUGCGGGAUGACGGCCUUCGGGUUGUAAACCGCUUUCGACUGAGACGAAGCGUGAGUGACGGUAAUGGGUAAAGAAGCACCGGCUAACUACGUG